rnacentral:misc_RNA from 1 species
AACUUUUGGCAACGGAUCACUUGGCUCUCGCAGCGAUGAAGAACGCAGCGAAAUGCGAUAAGUAAUGUGAAUUGCAGAAUUCAGUGAAUCAUCGAAUCUUUGAACGCACCUUGCGCCCCUUGGCUAUUCCGAGGGGCAUGCCUGUUUGAGUAUCAUGAACACCUCAACGCUCAUGGUUUGCUGUGAUGAGCUUGGACUCUGGGUGUUUUGCUGGCCUGUGGUUAGCUCCCCUCAAAUGAAUCAGCCUCCCAGUGUUUGGUGGCCUCACGGGUGUGAUAAAUAUCUAUGCUCGCCGUUGCCUGCCCGGUAACCUUUGGUGACAAAGGUUUGCUGGAGAUCACAGAUGUCUCUCCUAAGCGAGGACAGCUUUUUGCACGUUCGAUCCCAAAUCAGGUAGGACUACCCGCUGAACUUAAGCAUAUCAAUAAGCGGACGCU